rnacentral:tRNA from 1 species
GCGGAUGUGGCGGAAUUGGUAGACGCGCACGGUUCAGGUCCGUGUGCCCGAAAGGGCGUGGAGGUUCAAGUCCUCUCAUCCGCAUCA